rnacentral:rRNA from 1 species
AAUAAUUAUUUAUUAAUUAAAAUAAUAUUAAAUUAAAAAAUUUGUUUUAGUAAAAUUAUUUUAAGAAAAAAUAUUAAAUAUUUUUAUAGUAAAUUAGUAAAGUUAUUGAAUUUUUAAAAUUAUUAAAUAAAUUUUAAAUUAUUCAAAGUAGAUUUAAGUUAUUGUAUCUUGGGUAUCAGAGUUUAAUAAAAAGAAUUAAAAAUUUUAUAUUUCUCGAAAAAAAUUAAGAGUUAAGAAUUAAAUAUUUAUUAAUGUUUAAAAAUUAUAAAUAAUUAAUUUUUUGAAAUGAAAAGUUAUUCGUUUUUUUUUAUAUCUAGUUUUAAAAGAAAUAAAUUUAAUUUAAUUUAUUAUUAAAAAUAUUAAAAUUAUUAAUUUAAAUAUUAAUAUUAUAAAAAAAAAUAUAAUGAUAAAUAUAUAUAUAAAGGGUUAAGCUUUUAUAUAAAUUUUUAUAUUAAUUAAUUUUUUAAAUAAAAUUAUAGAAUUAAAAUUUUUUUUUAUUUAAUAUAUUAAUUUAUUAUUUAUUUAUAAAAAAAAAUAAUAUUUAUUUUUAGAUUAAUUAUUUAUUUUGACAAUUUUAUUAAUUAUUAUUAAUAAGAGUUAAUGUUAUAAUUAGUAUAAAUUUAUUAAAAAUUUGAUUUUAAAUUUUUAUUUAAAAUUAAUUAAUUAGGCAAAAUAAAAUUAUUAAUUAUAUAAAAUUUAAUUAUUUCACAUGUUUAACAAAAACAUGUCUUUUAGUUUAUAAAUUUAAAGUCUAAUCUGCCCACUGAAAAAUUUUUUAAAGGGCUGCAGAAUUUUAACUGUACGAAGGUAGCAUAAUAAAUUGUUUUUUAAUUGAAAACUAGAAUGAAUGAUUUUAUGAAAAUAAAACUGUAUUUAUUUUAAAUUUAAAAUUUAUUUUUUUUGUAAAAAAACAAAAAUAAUAUAAAAAGACGAGAAGACCCUUUAGAUUUUUAUUUUUUUUGAUUUUUAAUUAUUUAUAAUAUCUAAUAAAAUGAUGUAAAAUUAAAUGUAUAAUUAUUAUAAAAAUUAAUUUAAAUUUAAUUGGGGUGAUUUAUAAAUUUUUAAACUUUAAUUUAUUAAUAUAAAUAAUUUAAUUAAAAAAUAAAAUUUUAAAUUUGUAUGASAAUUUAUAAUUAAAUGUAGGCGAAUUGAUUUAGUUUUAUGGAUUAAAAGAUUAAAUUACCUAAGGGAUAACAGCGUUAUUUAAAUUUUUAGUUCUUAUGGAAAUUUGAGAUUGCGACCUCGAUGUUGGAUUAAGAUAAAUUGAAAAUGCAGAAGUUUUUAAAUUUAGUCUGUUCGACUAUUAAAAUCUUACAUGAUCUGAGUUCAAACCGGUGUGAGCCAGGUUGGUUUCUAUCUUUUAUUUAAAGUUAAAUUUUUUAGUACGAAAGGAUUAAAAAUUUAAAAUAAAAAAUUUUUGAUUUAAAUGAAUUU